AUUGAACGCUGGCGGCAGGCCUAACACAUGCAAGUCGAGCGGAUGAAGGGAGCUUGCUCCUGGAUUCAGCGGCGGACGGGUGAGUAAUGCCUAGGAAUCUGCCUGGUAGUGGGGGAUAACGUCCGGAAACGGGCGCUAAUACCGCAUACGUCCUGAGGGAGAAAGUGGGGGAUCUUCGGACCUCACGCUAUCAGAUGAGCCUAGGUCGGAUUAGCUAGUUGGUGGGGUAAAGGCCUACCAAGGCGACGAUCCGUAACUGGUCUGAGAGGAUGAUCAGUCACACUGGAACUGAGACACGGUCCAGACUCCUACGGGAGGCAGCAGUGGGGAAUAGUGGACAAUGGGCGAAAGCCUGAUCCAGCCACGCCGCGUGUGUGAAGAAGGUCUUCGGAUUGUAAAGCACUUUAAGUUGGGAGGAAGGGCAGUAAGUUAAUACCUUGCUGUUUUGACGUUACCAACAGAAUAAGCACCGGCUAACUUCGUG
rnacentral:rRNA from 1 species